CAAGCGGAAAUGCCCAGAAUUUGAGAUCAUCAGGAAAGCCCAUCUCGAGGCCGAGAUUGAUGAAAUUGAGAAGGCAAUCCAAUUCCCAGAAUUUCAAAUCCCCAGCUGACACCUUUGCUUGUCCCGGUUUUAAUCCGUUUCGACCUGUUUCCGGCCCUGCUGAACAGGAUGUUUCAAAGUCCAGUGCAUUUGGGUAUGGUAGCGAUAGGAAUGAGUCAUUUGUUUUUGGAACGGGUAAAAGUAGUUUAGGUGGGAAUUCGGAUUCCGGGUAGUGGAAUGUGCAAUUCAGAGAAAUGGGUAAAACGAAGUCAUUGAACAGAUGAAAAAUGCGAGAAUUGGGAGCGGAAAUGUGCAAUUCAGAGAAAUGGAAAAGGAAGGUUCUGGUUACUGUUCCGACAAAGGUAUAGGCGCUGAAAAUCCUCCAGAAAAUUAGAUAUAUUGGGCUGAAACAGAAAGCUGUAAAUCUGCAAAUGAGGAAAUAGA
rnacentral:misc_RNA from 1 species